rnacentral:rRNA from 1 species
UACGAAGGGGGCUAGCGUUGCUCGGAAUCACUGGGCGUAAAGCGCACGUAGGCGGAUUUCUAAGUCGGGGGUGAAAUCCUGGAGCUCAACUCCAGAACUGCCUUCGAUACUGGAAGUCUUGAGUCCGGGAGAGGUGAGUGGAACUGCGAGUGUAGAGGUGAAAUUCGUAGAUAUUCGCAAGAACACCAGUGGCGAAGGCGGCUCACUGGCCCGGUACUGACGCUGAGGUGCGAAAGCCAGGGGAGCGAACGGA